GGUUAUGGCUCAGCGGUAGAGCGCUCGCCUUGCAAGUGCAAGGCCCUGGGCUAGAUCCUCAGCACCA
rnacentral:tRNA from 1 species